rnacentral:rRNA from 1 species
UAUAGUGUUAUUAAUAUCAAGUUGGGGGAGCCCAUUGUAGCAUUGUGCCAAUUCAUCCAUUAACUUCUCAGUAACAGAUACAAACUCAUCACGAACGUCAGAAGCAGCCUUAUGGCCGUCAACAUACAUAUCACCAUUAUCGAACUCAACGCCCUGCAUACGAAAAGACAGAAUCUCUUCCAAGAGCUUGAUGCGGUUAUCCAUCUGCU